UUGGCGGGUGUCGGCUAAGCGGCCGCCGGCGCCGCAGCCACCCCGGCCGGCUGCAGGGACGGCAAGGACCGCAGGGACGGCAAGGACCGCAAGGACCGGGACAACCGCGUCGAGCGGGAGCAGCCUCCGGCCGGAGGCGAUCCGGGCCCCGACGGCGGCAGCCAGCGCUUCUCCUCGGGCCCCCGGUUCCGCAACUCACCGAGACCCUGGGCUUCUAUGAGAGCGCCCGGCACCGGGAGAAGCGCCGGAGUCGCUUAGGUUUAAGUGACUUAUGCGACGUUGUUCUGCCGAGAAGUGACAGAAUCAGAAGCCGUGCCAAGUUUCUAGAAUCUUUGACCAGUGGUUGCAAGUUGUAUAUUCCGAAACGGAUUUAAUUGUUGUCUCCAGAGACAGACUGGACUUGGAUGUGAUUUCAUUAGUCUAUACCAAUAUACAUCAGCACUUUCCUCACAUGAUGUGUAGUAGAGAGGGCUUAAGUGACUUGUCCCAUACCUACUAUGUGUCAGAGACUGGACUUGAACCCAAGUUCUCUUUCUACUACCCUCAAAAAAAGUAGGAUUGAUGUUGUGGUAAUAAUACUGUUACUGAAUAUGACAGCUGAGAAAACUGAAAUUGUCAGUGCUAUUUCAGUGAAUAUGGACUGGCUGUACCAUUUUUUUAUUCUUGCACAUCAGUUCAUAUGUAUGCACACAAGUUCUUAUUUCUCUUAUUGAAAAUUGCUAUAUUAAUUUAUAAAAUUAACUAUGAUUUAGCACUGAAAUUUGAAUUUCUGUGACUUUAAUAAUUUAAGAACCUGAAGUGUAAUAGAUGGUAUGUAGCCUAUAAUAAUAAAUAUGUUAAAUCUAGAGAAAUCCAUAGCCCGAGUGUGCAGGAAGUUGAAUUUUUAAAUUGUUCAUUUUUGCCUCAAACUCUAUUAGGUUUUUAUUUUGUUGUCAUUCCUUCUUGAAAGGAAUAUUUACUCUGAAUGGACAGGAGCUUAGUAAGAGAAAGGUAUUAAAUGUUCCUUUUGGAUAACUCUUA